GGGUUGUGAGGUUAAGCGACUAAGCGUACACGGUGGAUGCCCUGGCAGUCAGAGGCGAUGAAGGACGUGCUAAUCUGCGAUAAGCGUCGGUAAGGUGAUAUGAACCGUUAUAACCGGCGAUUUCCGAAUGGGGAAACCCAGUGUGUUUCGACACACUAUCAUUAACUGAAUCCAUAGGUUAAUGAGGCGAACCGGGGGAACUGAAACAUCUAAGUACCCCGAGGAAAAGAAAUCAACCGAGAUUCCCCCAGUAGCGGCGAGCGAACGGGGAGCAGCCCAGAGCCUGAAUCAGUGUGUGUGUUAGUGGAAGCGUCUGGAAAGGCGCGCGAUACAGGGUGACAGCCCCGUACACAAAAAUGCACAUGCUGUGAGCUCGAUGAGUAGGGCGGGACACGUGGUAUCCUGUCUGAAUAUGGGGGGACCAUCCUCCAAGGCUAAAUACUCCUGACUGACCGAUAGUGAACCAGUACCGUGAGGGAAAGGCGAAAAGAACCCCGGCGAGGGGAGUGAAAAAGAACCUGAAACCGUGUACGUACAAGCAGUGGGAGCACGCUUAGGCGUGUGACUGCGUACCUUUUGUAUAAUGGGUCAGCGACUUAUAUUCUGUAGCAAGGUUAACCGAAUAGGGGAGCCGAAGGGAAACCGAGUCUUAACUGGGCGUUAAGUUGCAGGGUAUAGACCCGAAACCCGGUGAUCUAGCCAUGGGCAGGUUGAAGGUUGGGUAACACUAACUGGAGGACCGAACCGACUAAUGUUGAAAAAUUAGCGGAUGACUUGUGGCUGGGGGUGAAAGGCCAAUCAAACCGGGAGAUAGCUGGUUCUCCCCGAAAGCUAUUUAGGUAGCGCCUCGUGAAUUCAUCUCCGGGGGUAGAGCACUGUUUCGGCAAGGGGGUCAUCCCGACUUACCAACCCGAUGCAAACUGCGAAUACCGGAGAAUGUUAUCACGGGAGACACACGGCGGGUGCUAACGUCCGUCGUGAAGAGGGAAACAACCCAGACCGCCAGCUAAGGUCCCAAAGUCAUGGUUAAGUGGGAAACGAUGUGGGAAGGCCCAGACAGCCAGGAUGUUGGCUUAGAAGCAGCCAUCAUUUAAAGAAAGCGUAAUAGCUCACUGGUCGAGUCGGCCUGCGCGGAAGAUGUAACGGGGCUAAACCAUGCACCGAAGCUGCGGCAGCGACGCUUAUGCGUUGUUGGGUAGGGGAGCGUUCUGUAAGCCUGUGAAGGUGUACUGUGAGGUAUGCUGGAGGUAUCAGAAGUGCGAAUGCUGACAUAAGUAACGAUAAAGCGGGUGAAAAGCCCGCUCGCCGGAAGACCAAGGGUUCCUGUCCAACGUUAAUCGGGGCAGGGUGAGUCGACCCCUAAGGCGAGGCCGAAAGGCGUAGUCGAUGGGAAACAGGUUAAUAUUCCUGUACUUGGUGUUACUGCGAAGGGGGGACGGAGAAGGCUAUGUUGGCCGGGCGACGGUUGUCCCGGUUUAAGCGUGUAGGCUGGUUUUCCAGGCAAAUCCGGAAAAUCAAGGCUGAGGCGUGAUGACGAGGCACUACGGUGCUGAAGCAACAAAUGCCCUGCUUCCAGGAAAAGCCUCUAAGCAUCAGGUAACAUCAAAUCGUACCCCAAACCGACACAGGUGGUCAGGUAGAGAAUACCAAGGCGCUUGAGAGAACUCGGGUGAAGGAACUAGGCAAAAUGGUGCCGUAACUUCGGGAGAAGGCACGCUGAUAUGUAGGUGAAGUCCCUCGCGGAUGGAGCUGAAAUCAGUCGAAGAUACCAGCUGGCUGCAACUGUUUAUUAAAAACACAGCACUGUGCAAACACGAAAGUGGACGUAUACGGUGUGACGCCUGCCCGGUGCCGGAAGGUUAAUUGAUGGGGUUAGCGCAAGCGAAGCUCUUGAUCGAAGCCCCGGUAAACGGCGGCCGUAACUAUAACGGUCCUAAGGUAGCGAAAUUCCUUGUCGGGUAAGUUCCGACCUGCACGAAUGGCGUAAUGAUGGCCAGGCUGUCUCCACCCGAGACUCAGUGAAAUUGAACUCGCUGUGAAGAUGCAGUGUACCCGCGGCAAGACGGAAAGACCCCGUGAACCUUUACUAUAGCUUGACACUGAACAUUGAGCCUUGAUGUGUAGGAUAGGUGGGAGGCUUUGAAGUGUGGACGCCAGUCUGCAUGGAGCCGACCUUGAAAUACCACCCUUUAAUGUUUGAUGUUCUAACGUGGACCCGUAAUCCGGGUUGCGGACAGUGUCUGGUGGGUAGUUUGACUGGGGCGGUCUCCUCCUAAAGAGUAACGGAGGAGCACGAAGGUUGGCUAAUCCUGGUCGGACAUCAGGAGGUUAGUGCAAUGGCAUAAGCCAGCUUGACUGCGAGCGUGACGGCGCGAGCAGGUGCGAAAGCAGGUCAUAGUGAUCCGGUGGUUCUGAAUGGAAGGGCCAUCGCUCAACGGAUAAAAGGUACUCCGGGGAUAACAGGCUGAUACCGCCCAAGAGUUCAUAUCGACGGCGGUGUUUGGCACCUCGAUGUCGGCUCAUCACAUCCUGGGGCUGAAGUAGGUCCCAAGGGUAUGGCUGUUCGCCAUUUAAAGUGGUACGCGAGCUGGGUUUAGAACGUCGUGAGACAGUUCGGUCCCUAUCUGCCGUGGGCGCUGGAGAAUUGAGGGGGGCUGCUCCUAGUACGAGAGGACCGGAGUGGACGCAUCACUGGUGUUCGGGUUGUCAUGCCAAUGGCACUGCCCGGUAGCUAAAUGCGGAAGAGAUAAGUGCUGAAAGCAUCUAAGCACGAAACUUGCCCCGAGAUGAGUUCUCCCUGACCCUUUAAGGGUCCUGAAGGAACGUUGAAGACGACGACGUUGAUAGGCCGGGUGUGUAAGCGCAGCGAUGCGUUGAGCUAACCGGUACUAAUGAACCGUGAGGCUUAACCUUACAACGCCGAAG
rnacentral:rRNA from 1 species